rnacentral:rRNA from 1 species
CCCUUAGAUGUCCUGGGCUGCACGCGCGCUACACUGAUGUGUCCAGUAAGCACCUAACCUCUUCCGAAAGGAACGGGUAACCUUUGCAAAGCACAUCGUGAUGGGGAUAGAUUAUUGCAAUUAUUAGUCUUGAACGAGGAAUUCCUAGUAAGCACAAGUCAUCAGCUUGUGUUGAUUACGUCCCUGCCCUUUGUACACACCGCCCGUCGCUCCUACCGAUCGAAUGUUCCGGUGAGCUCUUCGGACUGCGCGGUCUGCAGUUUCUGCGUUCCGUGCGGAAAGUUGCGCAAACCUUAACAUUUAGAGGAAGGAGAAGUCGUAACA